CAAUAGCGUAUAUUAAAGUUGUUGCAGUUAAAAAGCUCGUAGUUGGAUUUGUGGCUGUCACGGGCGGCCUAUCACUUAGUGUUAGUGCUUGCCUGUGUCGCCAUCCUUGGGUGGAGCCCGUGUGGCAUUAGGUUGUCAUGCGGGGGAUGCCCAUCGUUUACUGUGAGAAAAUUAGAGUGUUCAAAGCAGGCUUAUGCCAUUGAAUAUGUUAGCAUGGAAUAAUAAGAUAGGACCUCGGUACUAUUUUGUUGGUUUGCGCACUGAGGUAAUGAUUAAUAGGGACAGUUGGGGGUAUUCGUAUUUCAUUGUCAGAGGUGAAAUUCUUGGAUUUCUGAAAGACGAACUACUGCGAAAGCAUUUACCAAGGAUGUUUUCAUUAA
rnacentral:rRNA from 1 species